rnacentral:rRNA from 1 species
CCUACGGGAGGCAGCAGUGGGGAAUUUUCCGCAAUGGGCGAAAGCCUGACGGAGCAAUACCGCGUGAGGGAGGAAGGCCCUUGGGUUGUAAACCUCUUUUCUCAGGGAAGAAUAAUGACGGUACCUGAGGAAUCAGCAUCGGCUAACUCCGUGCCAGCAGCCGCGGUAAUACGGAGGAUGCAAGCGUUAUCCGGAAUGAUUGGGCGUAAAGCGUCCGCAGGUGGCAAUUCAAGUCUGCUGUCAAAGGUCGGGGCUCAACUUCGAACAGGCAGUGGAAACUGAACAGCUAGAGUGCGGUAGGGGUAGAGGGAAUUCCCGGUGUAGCGGUGAAAUGCGUAGAGAUCGGGAAGAACACCAGUGGCGAAAGCGCUCUACUAGACCUGCACUGACACUGAGGGACGAAAGCUAGGGGAGCGAAUGGGAUUAGAUACCCCAGUAGUCCUAGCCGUAAACGAUGGAUACUAGGUGUUGCUUGUAUCGACCCAAGCAGUGCCGUAGCUAACGCGUUAAGUAUCCCGCCUGGGGAGUACGCGCGCAAGCGUGAAACUCAAAUGAA